GACGAACGCUGGCGGCGUGCUUAACACAUGCAAGUCGAACGGAAAGGCCCUGCUUUUGCGGGGUUCUCGAGUGGCGAACGGGUGAGUAACACGUGAGUAACCUGCACUUGACUUUGUGAUAACUUCAGGAAACUGGGGCUAAUACCCGAUAGGAGCUCCUGCUGCAUGGUGGGGGUUGGAAAGUUUCGGCGGUUGGGGAUGGACUCGCGGCUUAUCAGCUUGUUGGUGGGGUAGUGGCUUACCAAGGCUUUGACGGGUAGCCGGCCUGAGAGGGUGACCGGCCACAUUGGGACUGAGAUACGGCACAGACUCCUACGGGAGGCAGCAGUGGGGAAUAUUGCACAAUGGGGGGAAGCCUGAUGCAGCAACGCCGCGUGCGGGAUGACGGCCUUCGGGUUGUAAACCGCUUUCGCCUGUGACGAAGCGUGAGUGACGGUAAUGGGUAAAGAAGCACCGGCUAACUACGUG
rnacentral:rRNA from 1 species